UGAACGCUAGCGGGAGGCUUAAUACAUGCAAGUCGAGGGGUAACGAUGGUGCUUGCACCAGGCGACGACCGGCGAACGGGUGAGUAACGCGUACACAAUCUACCUUCAAGUGGGGAAUAGCCCUGGGAAACUGGGAUUAAUGCCCCAUAGUAUUACCGUGUAAUAUGAUAUGGUAAUUAAAGUUUCGACGCUUGAAGAUGGGUGUGCGUCCCAUUAGCUAGUUGGUGAGGUAACGGCUCACCAAGGCGACGAUGGGUAGGGGGCGUGAGAGCGUGGUCCCCCACACGGGUACUGAGACACGGACCCGACUCCUACGGGAGGCAGCAGUAAGGAAUAUUGGACAAUGGGCGCAAGCCUGAUCCAGCCAUCCCGCGUGUAGGAUGACUGCCCUAUGGGUUGUAAACUACUUUUAGAUAGGAAGAAACCCACACGUUUACGUGUGGCUGACGGUACUAUCAGAAUAAGCACCGGCUAACUCC
rnacentral:rRNA from 1 species